rnacentral:rRNA from 1 species
AUUGAACGCUGGCGGCAGGCCUAACAGCAUGCAAGUCGAGCGGAAACGAGUUAUCUGAACCUUCGGGGAACGAUAACGGCGUCGAGCGGCGGACGGGUGAGUAAUGCCUGGGAAAUUGCCCUGAUGUGGGGGAUAACCAUUGGAAACGAUGGCUAAUACCGCAUAAUGCCUUCGGGCCAAAGAGGGGGACCUUCGGGCCUCUCGCGUCAGGAUAUGCCCAGGUGGGAUUAGCUAGUUGGUGAGGUAAUGGCUCACCAAGGCGACGAUCCCUAGCUGGUCUGAGAGGAUGAUCAGCCACACUGGAACUGAGACACGGUCCAGACUCCUAAGGGAGGCAGCAGUGGGGAAUAUUGCACAAUGGGCGCAAGCCUGAUGCAGCCAUGCCGCGUGUAUGAAGAAGGCCUUCGGGUUGUAAAGUACUUUCAGCAGUGAGGAAGGUGGUGUCGUUAAUAGCGGCAUCACUUGACGUUAGCUGCAGAAGAAGCACCGGCUAACUCCGUGCCAGCAGCCGCGGUAAUACGGAGGGUGCGAGCGUUAAUCGGAAUUACUGGGCGUAAAGCGCAUGCAGGUGGUUCGUUAAGUCAGAUGUGAAAGCCCGGGGCUCAACCUCGGAAUAGCAUUUGAAACUGGCGGACUAGAGUACUGUAGAGGGGGGUAGAAUUUCAGGUGUAGCGGUGAAAUGCGUAGAGAUCUGAAGGAAUACCGGUGGCGAAGGCGGCCCCCUGGACAGAUACUGACACACAGAUGCGAAAGCGUGGGG